UACGGAGGGUGCGAGCGUUGUCCGGAAUCACUGGGCGUAAAGGGCGCGUAGGCGGUUGGGGAAGUCCGUGGUGAAAGCUCGUGGCUCAACUACGAGUCGGCCAUGGAUACUCCUUGACUUGAGCACUGUAGAGGCAGAUGGAAUUCCGGGUGUAGCGGUGGAAUGCGUAGAGAUCCGGAAGAACACCCAUGGCGAAGGCAGCACUCUGGGCCUCUCCUGACGCUGAGACGCGAAAGCGCGGGGAGCGAACGGG
rnacentral:rRNA from 1 species